ACAGAGGGUGCAAGCGUUAAUCGGAAUUACUGGGCGUAAAGGGCGCGUAGGCGGGUAUUUAAGACAAUUGUGAAAUCCCUGGGCUUAACCUAGGAAUUGCAGUUGAUACUGCAUAUCUUGAGUAUGGUAGAGGAAAGUGGAAUUCUCGGUGUAGCGGUGAAAUACGUAGAUAUCGGGAAGAACACCGAUGGCGAAGGCGACUUUCUGGACCAAUACUGACGCUGAGGCGCGAAAGCGUGGGGAGCAAACAG
rnacentral:rRNA from 1 species